rnacentral:rRNA from 1 species
UGCUGGAGGUAUCAGAAGUGCGAAUGCUGACAUAAGUAACGAUAAAGCGGGUGAAAAGCCCGCUCGCCGGAAGACCAAGGGUUCCUGUCCAACGUUAAUCGGGGCAGGGUGAGUCGACCCCUAAGGCGAGGCCGAAAGGCGUAGUCGAUGGGAAACGGGUUAAUAUUCCCGUACUUGGUGUUACUGCGAAGGGGGGACGGAGAAGGCUAUGUUGGCCGGGCGACGGUUGUCCCGGUUUAAGCGUGUAGGUGUGUGUUCCAGGUAAAUCCGGUUCACUUUAACACUGAGGCGUGACGACGAGGCACUACGGUGCUGAAGCAACAAAUGCCCUGCUUCCAGGAAAAGCCUCUAAGCAUCAGGUAACANGAAAUCGUACCCCAAACCGACACAGGUGGUCAGGUAGAGAAUACCAAGGCGCUUGAGAGAACUCGGGUGAAGGAACUAGGCAAAAUGGUGCCGUAACUUCGGGAGAAGGCACGCUGACACGUAGGUGAAGUGAUUUACUCANGGAGCUGAAGUCAGUCGAAGAUACCAGCUGGCUGCAACUGUUUAUUAAAAACACAGCACUGUGCAAACACGAAAGUGGACGUAUACGGUGUGACGCCUGCCCGGUGCCGGAAGGUUAAUUGAUGGGGUCAGCGNAAGCGAAGCUCCUGAUCGAAGCCCCGGUAAACGGCGGCCGUAACUAUAACGGUCCUAAGGUAGCGAAAUUCCUUGUCGGGUAAGUUCCGACCUGCACGAAUGGCGUAAUGAUGGCCAGGCUGUCUCCACCCGAGACUCAGUGAAAUUGAACUCGCUGUGAAGAUGCAGUGUACCCGCGGCAAGACGGAAAGACCCCGUGAACCUUUACUAUAGCUUGACACUGAACAUUGAGCCUUGAUGUGUAGGAUAGGUGGGAGGCUUUGAAGUGUGGACGCCAGUCUGCAUGGAGCCGACCUUGAAAUACCACCCUUUAAUGUUUGAUGUUCUAACGUGGACCCGUAAUCCGGGUUGCGGACAGUGUCUGGUGGGUAGUUUGACUGGGGCGGUCUCCUCCUAAAGAGUAACGGAGGAGCACGAAGGUUGGCUAAUCCUGGUCGGACAUCAGGAGGUUAGUGCAAUGGCAUAAGCCAGCUUGACUGCGAGCGUGACNGCGCGAGCAGGUGCGAAAGCAGGUCAUAGUGAUCCGGUGGUUCUGAAUGGAAGGGCCAUCGCUCAACGGAUAAAAGGUACUCCGGGGAUAACAGGCUGAUACCGCCCAAGAGUUCAUAUCGACGGCGGUGUUUGGCACCUCGAUGUCGGCUCAUCACAUCCUGGGGCUGAAGUAGGUCCCAAGGGUAUGGCUGUUCGCCAUUUAAAGUGGUACGCGAGCUGGGUUUAGAACGUCGUGAGACAGUUCGGUCCCUAUCUGCCGUGGGCGCUGGAGAACUGAGGGGGGCUGCUCCUAGUACGAGAGGACCGGAGUGGACGCAUCACUGGUGUUCGGGUUGUCAUGCCAAUGGCACUGCCCGGUAGCUAAAUGCGGAAGAGAUAAGUGCUGAAAGCAUCUAAGCACGAAACUUGCCCCGAGAUGAGUUCUCCCUGAGACUUNGAGUCUCCUGAAGGAACGUUGAANACGACGACGUUGAUAGGCCGGGUGUGUAAGCGCAGCGAUGCGUUGAGCUAACCGGUACUAAUGAACCGUGAGGCUUAACCUUACAACGCCGAAG